GAUGAACGCUGGCGGCGUGCCUAAUACAUGCAAGUCGAGCGAACAGACGAGGAGCUUGCUCCUCUGACGUUAGCGGCGGACGGGUGAGUAACACGUGGAUAACCUACCUAUAAGACUGGGAUAACUUCGGGAAACCGGAGCUAAUACCGGAUAAUAUAUUGAACCGCAUGGUUCAAUAGUGAAAGACGGUUUUGCUGUCACUUAUAGAUGGAUCCGCGCCGCAUUAGCUAGUUGGUAAGGUAACGGCUUACCAAGGCAACGAUGCGUAGCCGACCUGAGAGGGUGAUCGGCCACACUGGAACUGAGACACGGUCCAGACUCCUACGGGAGGCAGCAGUAGGGAAUCUUACGCAAUGGGCGAAAGCCUGACGGAGCAACGCCGCGUGAGUGAUGAAGGUCUUCGGAUCGUAAAACUCUGUUAUUAGGGAAGAACAAAUGUGUAAGUAACUAUGCACGUAUUGACGGUACCUAAUCAGAAAGCCACGGCCAACUACGUG
rnacentral:rRNA from 1 species